AUGUCUGCAGGUCGCUCUCAGCACACGGCUACCUCGAGCAUGCGGCGCCGGCAAGAGGCCGAGCGCGCCGUGGCAGAGGAGCGUGAGCGAGCGGCUGUAGCAGCGGCUGCUGCGGCGGCAAGAGUGUCGAGGCUGGCUGCAGCGGAGCUGGCAGCAGCCAGAGCGGAGGUAGAAGCAGCCAGGGCGGAGGUAGAAGCAGCAGCAGCAGCAGAAGCAGCCCGUGAGGCUACGGCGGAUGCCAAGGCACUCCGCGGCAGCCCCGGCAGCUCCAGCAGCUCCGCGCCUGCGGACGACGGCGCCGACGCAGAUCGCGCCAAAGUGGCGCAGGAGCGGACGGCGCAGUGGGUAGCCGAGCACGCCCGCGCUCCAGGUGGAGGCGCGCACCGCGACGGCGGCUGCAACGACCAGGACCGCGGCCUCUACGAGGUCCGGACUGUGGUCAGGGAUGUUGGUUCCAGUGUUGGGUGGCCUACCCUCACUAAAACCAACUACGUCGAGUGGGCCGGGAUCAUGAAGGUCAGGCUCCAGGUGCGGCGCAUGUGGGAGGCAGUCCAGGACAGCAACGUCGACCACCUAGAGGAUCGACGGGCGCUGGACGCCCUCAUCGCCGCAGUCCCGCCCGAGAUGCAGUUCUCGCUUUCCAACAAGCGGACUGCCAAGGAGGCUUGGGACGCCAUCGCCGCAGCACGCAUCGGCAGCGACCGUGCUCGCAAGUCCACCCUGCAGGCACUUCGUAAGGAGUGGGAGAACCUGGGCUUCAAGCCAGGUGAGGACGUUGAUGACUUUGCUCUCCGUCUCAACACUCUGCUGCAGAAGAUGGUGAAGUUUGGCGAUGCCACCUACACCGAGGAGAGAGCUGUCGAGAAGCUUUUUCGGUGCAUUCCCGAGAAGUACAAGUAG
rnacentral:rRNA from 1 species